rfam:Schistosoma haematobium scaffold675_21, whole genome shotgun sequence.
GCAUUGCUGAAGAGUCCCAUACUAGGACGAAACGGCCGUCCAAUGU